AUGAAAUCAAUUCAAGAAUCAAAUGCUGCAUUGUCUUUAGUUAUAUUGAUAAUAUUUAUUUAUGGUAAAACAGUGGAGAAAUAUCGCUCUUGCUUUCAUAUAACUGCAGCGGACAUACCUGAGUGGCCGCGAUCUAAUCCUGUUUACAUAAAGUAAACCUGCUCCCGAGCAGGUUUACGCUUACGGAUCUGUUGCUAUGACAGCAAGUCCCAGAUGAGCUUCGGAGAACCGAACGAUCCAAGAUCACGCGAAAUCGUCAACAUUCAAAUCCGGCUAACUUACUUAGCGAGGUACGAAGAACGGGCCCCUGCUCCUGUUUUUGUUUGAGCGUGGCAUUUCUCCCUCCUCCCACUCAGGGUUUUAAAGCCAGGAACUUGACACAGCAAACAUGAAGGCGACUGUUCAUGUAACGCGUAGGAUCCCUCCACGCACCAAAAAGAGGAUUCAUGCUUACUCCACUCUCAUCUACAGAGCUCAUAAAGAGGUUAGUCCUGUUGGACUGAGAAGUCCUGAGUUUCUGACCAGGAGGCAUGGUGUCCCCAGACUGGUCCUGCUCAGGCUUGUAGGCUCGGAGGCUUCUCGGCUGUCCAAGUCAAACAGGUUGAAAGUCAUCACUCGGAGAGAGCUCAGUGCUGCUGUUGCACACAUACAACGGAGGAUCCAUGCAAGAGCCGCUGCCUGAAGAUAUAGACUUUAAAACAAAAUUUUAUUUUUAUUAUUAAAGGGUUUAUUUUUUUAAUCUCUGCCUCUUUAUUAAAGUAAAGCUGUUAGGUAUUUAACCCUAACAGCUGGUGGAUGGAAGACUAGGACAGACAGAAAGUGUGUACGCUCAGAUUUAUGGAGGUUGCGACUUCCUAUUAAUUGUAAUGGUCCUGUUAUUCCACAAGGUGGAGCCAUGGGGCGUGAGGUCAUGGGCAAAAACCAUCUUCCAAUAAGAUAAGACUUGCUUAUGAUAUUCUGACAGUUUGACAGGCAACUUCCAAAUAUCAAAAUCACAUUUCAGGAGAAAAUCCAACCCUCCC
ensembl:lncRNA